AUACGGAGGGUGCAAGCGUUAAUCGGAAUUACUGGGCGUAAAGCGUACGUAGGCGGUUCGUUAAGUUAGAUGUGAAAGCCCCGGGCUUAACAUGGGAACUGCAUUUAAAACUGGCGAACUAGAGUUGAGUAGAGGGGAGUGGAAUUUCAGGUGUAGCGGUGAAAUGCGUAGAGAUCUGAAGGAACACCAGUGGCGAAGGCGACUCCCUGGACUCAAACUGACGCUGAGGUACGAAAGCGUGGGUAGCAAACGGGAUUAGAAACCCUAGUAGUCC
rnacentral:rRNA from 1 species